GAAUUUUCUACUAUAAAAAAAGGUGGAUUUCAUAUCCUUUUUGACACACAAAAAAAUCAAACACAAAAGAUACUCUUUAGUAUUUUCAUACUACUCUCUAAUCAUUUUAUACUAUAUUUCUAAAGUUUGUAGCAACUUGAUGAAAGACUCGUUCAAUUAUCUCUUUAUGGUCGUGCCCAUAGAAGGAGAGCCACAUGAGUUUUAUUUUGGAGCCAUGUAGUACUGAAAGAACCCGCACGAAGGGUGGACAACACAACUUUAAGACAGCGUCCUCUACGUGACUCCCAAGGCUUGAUUUUCUAACUCUCUUCUUAUAUUUAUAUUAUUUUGAAUCAUGUUAAUGUUAUUUAAUUGAAUUGUGCAAAUCAUCAAUUUCCCCUACAAUCUAAAGUCGUGUUGUAUGAUUUGUGAGUAGAUAUUUGGUAUUGUGAUUUUCAAAUAUAAAAUCACAUGUAAGUUCACCAACAGUAGUAAAACCAGCCAUGAACUGUCAUUUAGAUGAUAGAAAUAAAUAUUGGGUCAUGACUGCCAUGGAUAGUUUGGGAGA
rnacentral:lncRNA from 1 species